GUACGUGACAGGUAGUCGAUCAAUUGUGCAUAUUUACCGUCGGUAGUCUCACCACGACUGUUUUGUCGUCGUAGCGUGUACCGCAGAUGUUUCGUCAAUUAAUGCUACCUAUAGAGUCAAUUAAUUAAAAGUUAUCCGGUGUAUCGUAGAGAAGAAAUCAUGUUUGUUCAAAUGGUCGCGUUUUUUUCGUUCUAGACGUCGAAUAUUGACAAUCUGCAGUUUAUCUGCAUAUUUACCUUUACCGUAGAUGAUCUCACCACGAUUACUUCGUCGUAGCACGUACCCCCGCUUUCAAGCAGCUAGACUAUAAAUUCAGUUGCUGUAAAGCGCCGACGACACAAGUCAACGAAGACGACGACGACGAUGAUAAUAAACGCAUACAGUUGGACGGUCUUCACGGUCGUUCUUUCGACAGUACUACUCAACACAUCGUCAUACGCGGAAAACGCGAAAGAGGACGAAUACAAAGUCGUGAAGCGAAUAGACGAUAAUGGAGUGUCACAUCUAUGUGUCUUGUUGGCUAAAAAUAUCGCUGUUGUUGCAGUCAACAGGAAGAUACCAGCACCGAAACAUCUACCUCAACGACGACGGCAUCUCCCCUUUGUCCUAGCGAUACAAGUGGCAAGAUCUGGCUGAUCAGACACGAAACGAAUUGCCAAGCGUACUAUCGUUGUCGCAAGGUCCUGCGUCGAUGUAAGGAUGGAGAAUUGUUCAACGACGACAUCAGUUUGUGCGAUUUACCCAUCAAUGUGGACUGCGGGGAUCGCAUCGUGUCGCAUCAGGCGAGAGAACCACCAUUCAUUGCUGAAGGCGUCAUACCGUAAUCGAUUGCAUAACGACUCAAUGCCGUAACGGAUUAAAGGUCGUUUACAGUGCCGAAAAAUAUGGAGACGCAUCUUUGAUGAAAUGCAUCGUCCAAAUUGUCCGAUCAAUUUUUGGUGAAGAUACUGAAGAUGCAUCGUUCUUACCGCAUGAACUACGUGCUACUCCACGAUCACGUGCCAACGUCACCAUCGAGUCAAGUUGUCCAACUGUCGAAACAUUUUACAUUGCCCGCAAAGUCGCACGCUCUCAACAAAGGAUUGAUGUUCAGAUUGAUCUCCCACCAAUUCUUUACAUUGGAGCAAUCUUCAUUCAUGCCUCGAAUAGCAUAGCAUACAUUAUCCAAAUUUGUAAAGACAAAUGAAAUAUCUUCGCGUCGAUCCAAAAGAUCCACAUAGUACAGAAAGCGAGCUAAUCUGCGUGUACUGUAUUUACAAGCUGAGCAACCUCCAAAUCGGCACCGGAACGAUGUAUCGCGACAAAUCGGAACAGGAAAUUCCGUUUCCACCGCUGUAUAUUAAUAUCAAGGUUAUAGGCAUUAAUAACGCGAACAACUAUGUACAGAUGGCAAUUUGGUACGGCAUACUAAUUCGAUAGCUGAUGUCGUCGGACGAUGGUUAACAUAUUUCAGAAAAUCAUUGAAUUGUAGAAACAUUAUACGUUUUAUCUUCCUCGACACACCGGCAUGCUGAUAGCAACUGCAGCAGCAUCAAAAAGGAAAUAGUCAAUUUCUAGGAGAAAAAUAAAAAAAUAAUUAAUUCUAUUGGUCACCGAAAAAUAAAAUAUAUACGUAUCACA